AAAACAUAGUCUUUAUUAACACAUAAGAUAAAUCCUGCUCUCUGAUUUAUUUAACAGCCGCGGUAUCCUAACCGUGCUAAGGUAGCAUAAUCAUUUGCCUAUUAAUUGUAGGCUGGAAUGAACGGAACCACUCACUUAAUCCUAUAAACAUUAUAAUUUAACUUAAACUUAAAGUUAAAAUGCUAAUUAAUAGAGAAAGACAAAAAGACCCUAGAAACUACACCUAAGUGUUGGUUGGGGCAACCAUAGACCACCUAAGCGUCUAAAAUAUAAAAUUAACCUUUACUAUUAAGUUACUCUAGGGAUAACAGACUAAUUUCAGUUUCUAGACCAUAUAUAAAAUGAAGAUUGGCACCUCGAUGUUGGCUUAUAAUUUCUAAUUGAAGCAACACUCAAUUAAGAUAGAUUGUUCAUCUAUUAAACAUUUACAUGAGCUGAGUUCAGA
rnacentral:rRNA from 1 species